UACGAAGGUCCCAAGCGUUAUCCGGAUUUAUUGGGUUUAAAGGGUGCGUAGGCGGCUUAUUAAGUCAGUGGUGAAAGCCCCAAGCUUAACUUGGGAACUGCCAUUGAUACUGAUGAGCUUGAGUAGAUUUGAGGCGGGCGGAAUGUGCCGUGUAGCGGUGAAAUGCUUAGAUAUGACACAGAACACCAAUUGCGUAGGCAGCUCGCUAAACUCUUACUGACGCUGAGGCACGAAAGCAUGGGGAUCAAACAGG
rnacentral:rRNA from 1 species